UGGCAAUGAGAAAGAAUGAAAUCCUGCCAUUUGCAGCAAUACGGAUGGAACCAGAAGGUUCCCAGCUUCCCAUAGGAUUCCUAAAGGUGUCUGCCCGUCUUCCCCAUCACACUCGCACCCAUAUGGAUGGAUGAGAACGGAUCCGUCUCGAACCAGACACCUCAGCUCAAUGUCCUGUCUCUGAGGUUAACAGCCACUUUCUCCCGGGGAGUCGAGGUGCCUGUCCAGUGUCCUCCACUGCAUGUGCUCGGAUGAGCGUUACUUUUUUCUUCACAUCAUCACCCGUUGUCAUGCAUUCCUCCUCUUCCUCACGUACCCCUGCUAAUUUUCUACACACUGAGUGGCUUUUAUCUCCCCAGCGUCUUCCAUUCCAAAGCCUCCUGGACAUAGCAGCAAGGUCCACGCUUGGGUUGCACUACAGCGAAUGUCAUAUUCCUCCCUUCUUCCUCCUCGCCCUCCCUACCCCAGCCCCUGCUGUGUGCUCUGAAUCCCACAUAUCCUCUGCAGCACCUUUCAGAAUUCUUAAGAACACUAAGUCUCUGUCAUCAUGUCCCACGGAAUUGAUCAUGUUCUGUACAGUUAUUUUCACAGCUUCUGCCAUGCUGAUUUUCUCAUACAUCAUGGUAACGGCCAAUAAUCCCAGUGCUUUGUAUUUGUGCUGAUGGCACAUCUGUCUUCGUUCAUCUUUGUUUCUUCUUGCCAAUGUCACGCAGAGGCUGUCUACUAUGUGUCUCUCCUUCGGCCAUUCCUUUAGAAAUGGCCUGUCAUCCACAGUAUGUAAUUUCUGGAUGACCAUCAAUCAUGUGGUCCUGACUCCUCUACCUCAGCAAUGGGACUGAAGAACAUGCAAACAGGAGCAGCAAGAGUAAAUUUAGGGAACUGAUAUGCGUCCUGGAAAAGGAGGGUAAUUCUGUGUUCCUGGGGAUUUCUAGGUGCCGGUGACCUAUUUAUAUCCACGCGGAAAACCUGAGAAGCAAGCGUAGAGCGGAGAUACAGGGGAAGGAGAGAGGCGGCAGGCAGUGCGGAGCACAGAGACGGCAUGAUCAUGAUGUCUUCUCAAACCUGGAUGGAGCCACUCCUGAGGUCCACCCCUCCUCCUUGACCUCGCAGGAUAUAUAUGUGAGACAACCAUUAUCUUUGUGGCUGGGGCUACCUGAGAUAGGUUGCUGCCAUCUGCAGCCAAAAGGGUCCCAAUUAACAUAACUGUCACCCUCAACAUCAACAAUUCUCAUUAAGCCACAACUAGCUUUAGGCCAUUAUGAUUGGUGCCACUGAAUUCAAUGACUCAGGACUCUCCCCUCCAUGGGCUCACCCCCAGAUGAGAUAUGGGAUACGAAUAAAAUAGUUUUUAAAAAGCACAAAGUGUUUUAGGCAAUGUCAUAUUGCUCCCCGCAGGUAAUCACAUUACGUUUGUAAAAAUUCAAGAGCAAAUUAAUUUGCUCAGUUGACCCAUGUUGAUGAAGAAACACGUAGGAAUUUAAAAAAUAUGCCUGAGAUGAAUUCUUUUUGUUUGGCUCACUUCAUCCUGUGAAUCUGUGGCACACCACAAGUUGUAUAAUAUUCCAUUCUAAUUAUACUUUGUUGGAACACAGGAUAUAAAAGAAACCAGAAUUGAGAGAAGACACCCAUGCAUAGGACUAUGUCUCUAUCCCGGGCUCAUUAAAUACUCGUUCUGGUGCUGCUGGAGUCUAUGGGCUUCUUGAUUAAUCACUAGAAACCCUGUGAAUCACAAACUAUCAGGCGAUCUUUGACUUAAGUUCUUUGGCAUAUCUACCAGUGGCCAUUGUUCUCUUUAUAAUUCAAUGCUAAUUCAAUAUCUAAUAUCCCUUAAAAGUUUCAGAUAUGUGCUUUUUCUUAUUUUAAAAAUAUUCUAGUCUCUGUCCAUCAUACCAUGGAUAUAGAUUAUGAACUGAGCAAAAAUGUUACUGUCGCGAAAGAGCCAUUCACAGAGAAUAACCUGUAGUUACGUGCUCUCCCCCCUUGUGAUACAACAUCUAAAGGACAGUAAUUAAAAAGCUAAUGGUUAAUAAUCAUGUAUUCACUCCCGAAAACUACACUUGUUUCCUUCUAAUAUCUUCAUAUGUGAAAGCGAAAAAGAAGAAUGUGAAUCUGGUAGGUGAACAGGUCACUGAGGAGAAGAGAGCCUUUCAAAUGGGAGAUGGAAAGUAGUGAGCAAAGCAAAUUACGAGCGAAAACCUGUUAUGACUUCUGGCUCUGAGAGGGAGAAAUGUCUAGGAAAUCAUGGUUGCUCAUCUGAGGCCACCACAUAAUGAGAUGCACUAACUGCGCUUCUAUCAAUAAAUAUGAUGCUGUUGUUAUCAGUAAUAACUUUUCCCUGGAAGGCAGCCAAAGGUAGUUGAAGAAGCAUGGUCUUCAGAGCCUGUUUGAUUUGGGUUUGAGUUCUGGGCUGGCUGAGAAGGAGUACAAACUUGGCAGAACGCCUGGCUUCUCUGAGACACAUUUCUUCCUCUGUCAAGAGGGCUUCCCUAUAUGGAACCACAAAGGACCCCAGAGAACGAAAACCAUCUUGAGAGAGAAGAACGAAGCUAGAGGCAACACAAUCCCUGAUUUAAAAAUACAUCACAAAGUUGUAGUAAUUAAAGGAGUAUGAUCCUGGCCUGAAGACAGACAUACUGACCCAGGUAACCAGAAAGAGCUCAGAAUGCCAAGGACACACAAUGAGGAAAGGACAGUCUCUUCCACAAACGAUGCUGGGAAAACUGGACGGCCACGUGCAAAAGAAUGAAACUGGACCCCAGUCUUAUGCCAUGCACAAAAGUCAACACAAAACAGACGAAAGCCUUACUGCACAUAAGACCUGCAACUACAAAACUCCUUGGAGAAAACAGAGGAUGGGCUUCAUGACACUGUCCUUGGCAAUGAUUUCUGGGCAUUUAUCCAAAAGAACCGAAAUUAGCAUCUUGAAGCGCUUCAAGCCCUUACUCCAAGCCUUACUUCCUUACCACUGGCCCUUACUUCCUUGUUCAUGUAGCACUACUAACAAUCGCCAAGAUACAGAAACAAACUAAACAUCUAUGGAUGGAUGAAGGGAUGAAGAAAGUAUGGGGGGUAUGUAGAGCGGCAUAGUUUUCAGCCUUAAAAAAGGAAAUGAUGCAAUAUGUGACAGCACGAUGAGCCUUGAGGACAUUAUGCUGAGUGAACUAAGCCAGUCACAGAAGGACAAACACUGCGUUACUCAUAUGAGGUGCCGGAAAUAGCAGAACUCGUAGAAGCAGACAGCAGAUUAGCCAUGGCGGGUGCAGGGGGAGAGAGGGAAUGAGGAGUUACUAUUCAAUGGGGCACACGUUAUGCAAGAUGAAUGAGUGCUGGUGACCUUCUGCACAACACGGUGUCUGCAGUUAACAACACUGAAGCCCGCACUUAACAUUGUCUUAAGGAGGGGGGGGCGCCUGGGUGGCUCAGUUGAUUAAGCGUCCAGCUCUUGACUUCAUGAUCUCACAGUUCAUGAGUUCUAGCCCCACGUCGGGCUCUGUGCUGACAGUGUGGAGCCAGCUUGGGAUUCCCUCUCUCUCUCUCUCUCUCUCUCUCUCUCUGUCUCUCUCCCUCUCCCUCACUCAUGUGCUCUGUUUCUCUCUCUCUCAAAAUAAAUAUACUUAAACACUUUUUUUUAAGGAGGUCGAUCUCAUGUUAAGGGUUCUUAUCAGAAUAAAAACAAACAAAAACCCUG